GGUCAUCAUCCACAGUACCUCUGGACAAGGAGGAAAAGAACCAUUUCCACUAACCCCUGGAUGGAGGUGCAGGGAGCGUCAAUAGUAUCCCUGAAAACUUCAAAUGCACCAGGGGGGUCAGCACCCAGGGAAGAGCCACAGGAGGCCACUCUGAUGGAUUCUGAUGACUAUCUUUGCUCAAGUGUUAGGAGGAGGCUUCUUUCUCUCUGCCUCUGGCAACCCUGGGCCCAAGAAGUCCCAGGCACUCCGGAGGUCCUUCCUGCUCAUCACAGCCCCACCCAAGAGGCCUGGCUCACUCUGCAAUGAUGAUGUGAGAAUGAGCAGGUCUGCCUAGUGCCAGAGCCUGUGGUUGGAUUUUCGGCUGAGGCCAAGAGAAAUAAACAAGCCUCCUCCUUCCCUCUGCACGCUACAGGAAGAGCAGCUCGCUGGCUGCAAGGGGACCCUCCACCCUGCCUAUGGGGCACAGCAGCCCACAGCAUUCCUUCCAGAAACGGAGCACUGGCAGGCCUGGGUCCCUGUAAGAUGGAACACAAAGGGGUGGGCAGCUGACCUCAACAGCCAGCCCUUGGGAUUCCAAACCUUCUCUUAUCCCCCAACUUUGUGAUGUUAAUUUCUCCCUGGAUAAAGCUCUCUAACAACCUGGCAAGCCAGCACCAGCUGAACCAGCCCCAGCUUGAACCAGCAGCUUUCCCCAGCCCAGCUACAGUCUCAUCCCUCCAGAAGGGAAAAGAAGUCCUACGGAUUCCUUUACAAGGAACCUCCAGAAUCUGCUAUGGUGUCCGCAGGGGACAUUGGCACCAACUCUGGGUUUAUUAAAUGUAGUGGGUUCAACAGUGUCCCCCAAAACGAUAUGUCUUAAGUCCUAACUCCUGGAACCUGCGAACAUGAUCACAUUUGGAAAACGGAUCUUUGCAGAUGUAAUUAAGGUUUCAGCCAAGUUAUCCCCAGCAUGGCUGCUUGCGUGGGAAGCCCACAGCUGAGGGACUGUCUGCACGUGGCAUGCAGGAGUCACAAGCGCCAUCUACACCCCACCCCGGGCCAGGCAGAUGACCUCUCUGGUCUCAGUUUCCUGAUGAGGAACAGGAAGGGCUGGACCGAAAGAUCCCUUCCAGCCCGGACAUGGAAUGACCCCACGAGGGCCACGGUGAGGUCUGUCCCAGCUCCGCACACUAGCUCGGGCCAGCAGUUUCCAAAGGCACAGCCGCAGGGGCCUUGGAGCAGGGACAAGGAGGACCAGCCCACUUCACCCUCCUGGGCAGAGGUCAAGGACCCUGCCUUUGGCCCACAUUCCUUGUGGCCAAAAAUGCAGAAGCAAGCAGUGCUGGCAGAGGCACCUAGACCUUUGGGCAAAGCAGGGGCUCCACCUGACACCCCAGGCCUGGAGCACGAGAAAACCAGCCCAGGCCUCAGGUCCCCUGACUGCCAGCGACCAGGGAAUGUGACACUUUCCGGCCUCUGCUUCCUCAUCUCUCAAUCCUAGGGGGAGAUUAGGUUGGGUGAUGUGUUUUUCUUUUUGACAGUAAACUUUUAUUUAUUUUUAUUUUUAUUCUUGUUUUAAGAGGGGGUCUCCCAUGGCCGGGCGCAGUGGCUCACGCCUGUAAUCCUGGAACCUUGGGAGGCCGAGAUGGAUGGAUCACUUGAGGACAGGAGUUUGAGACCAGCCUGGUCAACAUGGUGAAACCCUGUCUCUACUAAAAAAUAUGUGAGCUGGCAACUCCAAGUCCCCAGCAGCCUCCGAAUGGAGGCUUUCCUCUUGUAGGAUUCUCAAAUCCUACAAAUAUGAGUGUCUGUAAUCCAGCUACUCAGGAGGCUGAGGCAUGAGAAUCACCUGAACCUGGGAGGCAGAGGUUGCAGUGAACCAAGAACGUGCCACCGCCACUUCAGCCUGGGACACAGUGAAACUCUGUCAAAAAAAAAAAAAAAAAAAGGUGGGGGUCUCCCUAUGUUGCCCAGGCUGGUCUCAAACUCCUGGGCUUAAGGAAUCCUCCUGCCUCAGCCUCCCAGAGUGUUGGGAUUACGGGCACGAGCCCAUGAACUUUAAAAAAUAACAUCUAUUGCUUUGUUCCUGACUGUAAAAGGAAUUUAGGCACAAAGCCGAAAAUUUGCAAAAUGCACAAAAACAAAGGGAAAAAAUCUAUAAACCCACAACCCAGGUAACUUCCAUCAAUAUUCUGACAAAUGUCUUUCCACUCUUUACUGGGGAGUGUGUGUGUGUGUGUGUGUGUGUGUGUGUGUGUGUGUGUGUGUGUUUAAACAGGUUCAUACAGUGAUGAUGUUGGGUGCUUUCCUCCAUGUGGCGCCAUGUGGCUGAGGUCCCUACACAUUUUGGGCCCGUUCUCUCGAUUCCUCUGUAGUUCUGAUGUUCUGAUUCCAGAUAUGUCAUUCUUGGCUCGGACUGUUCAGGAGAAUCAUUUCUGGAUCUUGCUAAAAAAUGGACUGCUGGUCCCCAACUCUUGGUGGUUCUGGCUCAGGAGGGCUGGGUAAGCCUGGGCACCCCGGAGUGUUUCUGGGGCGCUGCAGGUGUGAACCUCUGCCCUCCUGAAGACUCACAAGCCUCAUCUCCCCCAUCCCCUCCUUCCUCCCCGAGAAUCCUACAAGAGGAAAGCCUCCAUUCGGAGGCUGCUAGGGACUCGGAGUUGCCAGCUCACAGCCCCACCCUGCCCCCACCUCCCCGGGAGUUAUCCAAGGACAAUGUCCAGCCUCAGCUGCCAAGUCUCAGCUCCAGGGUCAGUCACACACUGAAGGACAUGCAGAAGUCGCCGUGUGCUGGGCACUGCUGAGGACAAAGGCCUGAAUGACAAGCGGGAACAAAGUCACAAGGUCCCAAAACCUGCCCGAGGUCCCACAGUCAGGGCCUCGGAAAUCCAUGAAAAAAGCCAGUUUAAUACCCUGCCACGGAACACAGGCAGGAGAGGGAGCAGCCCCCAGCCAGCCCCCAGCCAGCCUCCCGCCAGCCUCUUUGCGAAUCACCCCACUCCGGGUCACAGUCAGGGCAGCCGCCGCCUUCCUCCCUGCUCGACAGCCCUUGAGGGCAGGAGCCAGCUUGCCCAUCAUUGUCCCCUCUCCACUAGGGCCUGGCACCCUGCCUGGCAUGUAGUAGAAGCCUAAGAAGGGCUCACUGUGUUCAUUCUGCAAUAGUCAAUGUGUAUGAGUGCUUACCAUACCUGAAGACAGUGAUUUACUCUUGUCCCCAUUGCACAGAUGGGAAACUGAGGCACUGAGAGGCUGAUGACUCCCCCACAUUGCCGUGUGGGCAAGGGCAAGGCCAGAUGUGAGCCGGCACGCUGGGCCAUCGCGCCCUCUGCCUACACUCCGCCCUGGGCCUGGGAAGGCUACCCUCGGAGAUCCCCACGAUGCUGACACCUCGCUCAGCCCCUCCGUGCACCCUCUCCCACGCCUCCCAGCCACCCAAAGUACCAGCCAGGUAGCACUGUUAUUCUGGUUUUGCAAACUCAGUCAUUGAGUGGAAGAGCAGCCAGGCUGAAGUGGGGCAGAGGCAGCCCCCGUCAGACCCCAGGGUCGGGACCCUCAGCCAUCCCCACUCUCCAAGGACUAGUAGACAGAGAUUUCCAUCGUGCUCAGCCAGGGGCCAGGGAACAGGUCUCCACAGUGGGGGAGUGAUGGAUGGAUGCAGGUGCGGACUGGGAGGACCCGGGCCGGCCUUCCAGCGCUGGAGCCUCAGCAGCCCAAUCUACCUUG
rnacentral:lncRNA from 1 species